rnacentral:rRNA from 1 species
GUCGAGCGAACGGACGAGAAGCUUGCUUCUCUGAUGUUAGCGGCGGACGGGUGAGUAACACGUGGAUAACCUACCUAUAAGACUGGGAUAACUUCGGGAAACCGGAGCUAAUACCGGAUAAUAUUUUGAAUCGCAUGGUUCAAAAGUGAAAGACGGUCUUGCUGUCACUUAUAGAUGGAUCCGCGCUGCAUUAGCUAGUUGGUAAGGUAACGGCUUACCAAGGCAACGAUGCAUAGCCGACCUGAGAGGGUGAUCGGCCACACUGGAACUGAGACACGGUCCAGACUCCUACGGGAGGCAACAGUAGGGAAUCUUCCGCAAUGGGCGAAAGCCUGACGGAGCAACGCCGCGUGAGUGAUGAAGGUCUUUGGAUCGUAAAACUCUGUUAUUAGGGAAGAACAUAUGUGUAAGUAACUGUGCACAUCUUGACGGUACCUAAUCAGAAAGCCACGGCUAACUACGUGCCAGCAGCCGCGGUAAUACGUAGGUGGCAAGCGUUAUCCGGAAUUAUUGGGCGUAAAGCGCGCGUAGGCGGUUUUUUAAGUCUGAUGUGAAAGCCCACGGCUCAACCGUGGAGGGUCAUUGGAAACUGGAAAACUUGAGUGCAGAAGAGGAAAGUGGAAUUCCAUGUGUAGCGGUGAAAUGCGCAGAGAUAUGGAGGAACACCAGUGGCGAA